UGGGGAAUAUUGCACAAUGGGCGCAAGCCUGAUGCAGCCAUGCCGCGUGUAUGAAGAAGGCCUUCGGGUUGUAAAGUACUUUCAGCGGGGAGGAAGGGAGUAAAGUUAAUACCUUUACUCAUUGACGUUACCCGCAGAAGAAGCACCGGCUAACUCCGUGCCAGCAGCCGCGGUAAUACGGAGGGUGCAAGCAUUAAUCGGAAUUACUGGGCGUAAAGCGCACGCAGGCGGUUUGUUAAGUCAGAUGUGAAAUCCCCGGGCUCAACCUGGGAACUGCAUCUGAUACUGGCAAGCUUGAGUCUCGUAGAAGGGGGUAGAAUUCCAGGUGUAGCGGUGAAAUGCGUAGAGAUCUGGAGGAAUACCGGUGGCGAAGGCGGCCCCCUGGACGAAGACUGACGCUCAGGUGCGAAAGCGUGGGGAGCAAACAGG
rnacentral:rRNA from 1 species